rnacentral:rRNA from 1 species
GUGCCAGCAGCCGCGGUAAUACGUAGGGUGCGAGCGUUAAUCGGAAUUACUGGGCGUAAAGCGUGCGCAGGCGGUGAUGUAAGACAGAUGUGAAAUCCCCGGGCUCAACCUGGGACCUGCAUUUGUGACUGCAUCGCUAGAGUACGGUAGAGGGGGAUGGAAUUCCGCGUGUAGCAGUGAAAUGCGUAGAUAUGCGGAGGAACACCGAUGGCGAAGGCAAUCCCCUGGACCUGUACUUACGCUCAUGCACGAAAGCGUGGGGAGCAAACAGGAUUAGAUACCCUGGUAGUCCACGCCCUAA